rnacentral:rRNA from 1 species
AAGCUUGCUUUUGAAUAUCUUAGCGGCGGACGGGUGAGUAACGUGUGGGCAACCUGCCUCAUACAGAGGGAUAAUCAUGUGAAAACGUGACUAAUACCGCAUGUCAUUUGUUGAAGGCAUCUUCGACAAAGAAAAGGAGCAAUCCGGUAUGAGAUGGACCCGCGUCUGAUUAGCUGGUUGGCGGGGUAACGGCCCACCAAGGCGACGAUCAGUAGCCGACCUGAGAGGGUGACCGGCCACAUUGGGACUGAGACACAGCCCAAACUCC